AAACCAUGAUGAGGGCACUAUCUAAAUUGACUCUUGAAUUUGUCACAUUCUUCAAAUAAUGAUUCUCCAUAUGCCUAAGCAAAAUUUGUGAUGCAAUUCCUCAUAU